AGACGGAAUCUAUAUCAAUUGGGGUGAUACGAUAUGUAUACCUCGCAACAGCCAACUGGAUAUAGUGGCAAAUUUUGUGUUGGAGAGGCUAUGAGAAACUGUUGCAGCGUGCUGUAAAUUAUUAUAUGUCUCCUAGCAAACCAAAUAACGCGAUUGUAACCAUGGUGUCAAUCCAAGCUGUAUAUUCUUCCUGAUGGGUCAAUGCCAUACAUGCUGCACCCUUUGUAUCAGACGACGACAGGAUUCCGAGAGGAAAGAGCAGUUAAGUAACAGCAUUUUCGCACACCGCCAAAGGGACACUAAAAGGACAGCGAACGAUCAGGGUAUAAGAUGCACACCACACGACAUCCGUCAAGCAACGUUUGCAAGAGUGAAACCAAAAGCACAACACUACAAGAGAUGGGAAGUUACAGAAAAUUCAACACCUUUACAAUCCGCUCAUUCACCUUGUCCCAGAAUAAAUUUAGAGUCGUUGGUUUUGCAACGUGAUCCAUCGUCAUGUAGUCCUAGUAACUCGUAUCGCAACAACAUGAGGACAGAGAUUGGCCUUCUACAAACGUACCAGUUGGCCCAACGUGAUGUAUUGAAACAUACACACAAAGUUGCAUCAUAUUACGUCCCACCAACGGGGAUCAAUCCCGGCCUUCUCGAAAGACUAUAUCCAUCAGAUUGAAAUAAGUAAUUUAUUUUUAAACGUUCUGCAUUCCAUUUUAGAUACAGAUUUCCACACGGCUAGAAUGAGAGUUCCUUUACAUUAUCGUGUAAAUUUUCAUCGAAUGCGGAUGUUUUAUUUUUCAGACAUUGUAAAUAGCACUUUAUUUUUGUGUAUUUUAUACCGUUUCUGCAACAUUUAACCAUUGCUCUUCAGCCAAUUCGAUUUCCCCAUUUUUGCAUGUUGUUUGCUUCAUUUAAACUGAAAAAAUUCUUGUCACUAUUUUGGGCGUCUGAAACCUUAUAGGUUUUGGCUUGCUUUUGUGCGUCAAACACAGAAAAAGAUCGGCCUGAAUUAUUAUAGUGAUUCGAAAUACAAUUGUAUAU